ACGGGGGGUGCAAGCGUUGUUCGGAUUUAUUGGGCGUAAAGCGCGUGUAGGCGGUUUGUUAAGUCUGAUGUGAAAGCCCUGGGCUCAACCCAGGAAGUGCAUUGGAUACUGGCAGACUUGAAUACGGGAGAGGGUAGUGGAAUUCCUGGUGUAGGAGUGAAAUCCGUAGAUAUCAGGAGGAACACCGGUGGCGAAGGCGGCUACCUGGACCGAUAUUGACGCUGAGACGCGAAAGCGUGGGUAGCAAACAGGAUUAGAUACCCUGGUAGUCCACGCCGUAAACGAUGAGAACUAGGUGUUGCGGGUAUUGACCCCUGCAGUGCCGCAGCUAACGCAUUAAGUUCUCCGCCUGGGAAGUACGGUCGCAAGACUA
rnacentral:rRNA from 1 species